rnacentral:rRNA from 1 species
GAACGCAAGAACCUUACCUACUCUUGACAUCCAGAGAACUUAGCAGAGAUGCUUUGGUGCCUUCGGGAACUCUGAGACAGGUGCUGCAUGGCUGUCGUCAGCUCGUGUUGUGAAAUGUUGGGUUAAGUCCCGCAACGAGCGCAACCCUUAUCCUUUGUUGCCAGCGAUUCGGUCGGGAACUCAAAGGAGACUGCCAGUGAUAAACUGGAGGAAGGUGGGGAUGACGUCAAGUCAUCAUGGCCCUUACGAGUAGGGCUACACACGUGCUACAAUGGCGUAUACAAAGAGAAGCGACCUCGCGAGAGCAAGCGGACCUCAUAAAGUACGUCGUAGUCCGGAUUGGAGUCUGCAACUCGACUCCAUGAAGUCGGAAUCGCUAGUAAUCGUAGAUCAGAAUGCUACGGUGAAUACGUUCCCGGGUCUUGUACACACCG